CGAUCCUCCCACUUCAGCCUCCCAAAGUGCUGGGACUACAGACGUGAGCCACUGCACCCGGCCUAAACAUAGUUUUCCAAGCACACUAUGGUCAUUAUCUUUAAUUUAUGGGAGAAUUAAAGAGUUGAAAUGACUCUUCACUCUUUUGAAGUGGUAGCAACUAAAAAACAUAGUAGUUUUUUAGUUUUGGCAGUAGUUAUGGCAGAGAGAUUGGAACCACUGGAUGCUGGACUUCCAGGGCAUGAUGGCUCACUCGAUAGAGACAGAGCACUACGGAAGGGAGCCCCAUUCCCAAGCAUGGUGUCCAAUACACUGAAAGAAUAACUGGGCUCAGUAAUGCACCUAGAGACUCAGAUUCCAGACCUGCCCACUUGCUUUACUAUCCAAAACAACCAUGACACAUGACUUCUCUGGCGGGGUGUUGGCCAAGACAAACUGAACUAUAGAAGAUCCUUGACUUGCCAACGUUCAAAUGAUGAACUUUCAAAAAUAGCGAAACUGGCUGCAGAGCAAAAGCUUUUCAGCUCUGCACAACACCAACAGAUGGCGCUAAGUGUCACCCUUGUGGAGAGCAGAGGGACCUCGGAAGGGCCUUUGGAAAUCUAAUCUGGUUUUGAGUUCUUGGUGGGAAAAUGCACCUUUAAGUUGGGGGAGUUUGAAGACGUUGCCAAGACACGUGCUGCAGCAUUUGAUCUUUUCUGCCGCACUGGCUUCUGCAAUUAACAUGCUUUCACCAGUGAAACUCAGGUUGCGGGGAGAGCAUUCUUCCAGGUUCAUGCCUGUUGUCAUGGAGUAAUUAUAAUUCAUGUCUCCGUUCACAGUGUCCUGGUUUGUAGAAUAAAAUAUCUGGUCCACCCA
rnacentral:lncRNA from 1 species